rnacentral:rRNA from 1 species
UGAGGAAUAUUGGUCAAUGGGCGGGAGCCUGAACCAGCCAAGCCGCGUGAAGGAGGAAGGCGCCAGGCGUCGUAAACUUCUUUUGUCGGGGAACAAAGGGCGCCACGCGUGGCGUUGUGAGUGUACCCGAAGAAAAAGCAUCGGCUAACUCCGUGCC